rnacentral:rRNA from 1 species
UACGAAGGGGGCUAGCGUUGUUCGGAAUUACUGGGCGUAAAGCGCGCGCAGGCGGUCCUUUAAGUCGGGGGUGAAAGCCCAGAGCUCAACUCUGGAACUGCCUUCGAAACUAGAGGACUUGGGUACGGGAGAGGUGAGUGGAAUUCCGAGUGUAGAGGUGAAAUUCGUAGAUAUUCGGAAGAACACCGAUGGCGAAGGCAGGUCUCUGGGCCACUACUGACGCUGAGAAGCGAAAGCAUGGGGAGCGAACAGG